CUCCCACCCCACGUAGGUUAUAAGAAAGAAUGUUCAUCUUAGCCUCCUUUUCCCCUUCAUCAGACAAUCAAUCACUUCCAUCUUAGGAAUCUUUGUGUCAUAUACCUUAUCCACCUUAGAACCUUAUAUCCCCACGAGCCUUCCAAAGUGUACAUUGAAUAUUCCAUAUUCCAGAUUCACCCACUAAAGCACCUCAAAACACAAACCCUCCAGAUAAUUUUGCAUUAUAUCCAUCAUACAAAUUCAAAAACUUGCAACAACAAAAUGAUUAUUUUCAAAUAAAAUGGAGCGAUUGUGUUACCCACUAGGUCGGCUUGGUUGUGAGUCGAACUGUCUAUUUCAUUAAAAAAAAUCUAAUGCUGCAUUUUGCAUCCCCUCCCGUUCAUCCGAAUCCACUAAUACAAGUUGGAGCUUCGCAUCACCGAGACAUUCUAGACUCACCAAUCACGUAUUUUUGGAUAUGACUCUUCAACUACCAACACAAGAUUUAGUGGCGAAAGACUUGCAUGAAAAUGAGUGGAAUUUUCGACAUAUAUUUCUCAACAAAGACAUCCUUUAAGUCAUCAUGGUAAUAGUAGUGAAGGAAACGAAGGUUCUUUGGGUAUUGGGAAAGAGCAGAAAAUUUAUGAACUUCAGCAGAAGAUUUGUUGGCAAAGACAAGAGGUGAAGGAUCUUAAAGACAGGUCUUUAUGGAGCAGAAGUUUUGAUGGUGUUGUUUUAUUGCUUGUGAGGUUUUGUUUCACUGUUUUAGCAAGGAUAAAGGUUGUUUUUGGGAUUGGUCAUUCUGUGCCUUGUUUGUCUCCUAGUUUGUCAACUUCUGCAACAGUUUAUCCCUCUGAUCAGAAUCCAACUUCUUGUCAUGAAUUCAUUUUUAGGUCAUUGGAAAGGUUUGAGCUUGAAGAGAUCAAGGAAGGUUUAGGAAGUGGGUUUUUUUAGUCUAACUCUAAGCUUUUGAAACCACCUCCUAGUACUUUAGGUGAUGUUGCCUUGGCUUUACACUAUGCAAACUUGAUCUUGUUUAAUUCAAUUGUCUUUGGAAACUAUAUACAAUAGUGUUAAAUUACCAAAGGUGAAUGCAACCAUAACAUAGUAUGCCAGAUAAGUAAUUUUCGCUGAUAUCGAA